rnacentral:rRNA from 1 species
CUACAUGAAGCUGGAAUCGCUAGUAAUCGCGGAUCAGAAUGCCGCGGUGAAUACGUUCCCGGGUCUUGUACACACCGCCCGUCACACCAUGGGAGUCGGAAAUGCCCGAAGUCUGUGACCCAACCUUAGGGAGGGAGCAGCCGAAGGCAGGUCGGAUGACUGGGUGAAGUCGUAACAAGGUAUC